CGAGCGAAAUAAUUGAGAGCUUGCUUUUGAUUAUUUUAGCGGCGGACGGGUGAGUAGCGUGUGGGUAACCUGCCUUUUACUGGGGAAUAAUCACUGGAAACGGUGACUAAUACCGCAUACGGUUCUUGGAAGGCAUCUUCUGAGAAAGAAAGGAUUUAUUCGGUAAAAGAUGGACCCGCAUCUGAUUAGCUAGUUGGUGAGAUAACAGCCCACCAAGGCGACGAUCAGUAGCCGACCUGAGAGGGUGACCGGCCACAUUGGGACUGAGACACGGCCCAAACUCCUACGGGAGGCAGCAGUGGGGAAUAUUGCACAAUGGGCGAAAGCCUGAUGCAGCAACGCCGCGUGAAGGAAGACGGUUUUCGGAUUGUAAACUUCUAUCAAUAGGGAAGAAAAAAAUGACGGUACCUAAAUAAGAAGCCCCGGCUAACUACGUGCCAGCAGCCGCGGUAAUACGUAGGGGGCAAGCGUUAUCCGGAAUUACUGGGUGUAAAGGGAGAGUAGGCGGCAAGGUAAGCGAUAUGUGAAAGCCUUAGGCUUAACCUGAGGAUUGCAUAACGAACUAUCUAGCUAGAGUACAGGAGAGGAAAGCGGAAUUCUUAGUGUAGCGGUGAAAUGCGUAGAUAUUAGGAAGAACACCAGUGGCGAAGGCGGCUUUCUGGACUGAAACUGACGCUGAGGCUCGAAAGCGUGGGGAGCGAACAGGAUUAGAUACCCUGGUAGUCCACGCUGUANACGANGAGUGCUAGGUGUCGGGGAGGAAUCCU
rnacentral:rRNA from 1 species